CGGUGCGCCUUAUGCAUGCAAGUCGAGCGAAGCUUUUCAGUAGUUUACUACAGAAAAUGACUGAGCGGCGAACGGGUGAGUAACGCGUGAGCAAUCUACCUUAGUUACAGGGAUAGCCCGAGGAAACUCGGAUUAAUACCUGAUAUUCUUUAUUUCUCGCAUGAGAAUAAAAGGAAAGGUCAGCCGAACUAAGAUGAGCUCGCGUUCUAUCAGCUAGUUGGUGAGGUAAAAGCUUACCAAGGCUACGACGGAUAGCUGGUCUGAGAGGACGAUCAGCCACACUGGGACUGAGACACGGCCCAGACUCCUACGGGAGGCUGCAGCAGGGAAUAUUGUGCAAUGAACGAAAGUUUGACACAGCGACACCGCGUGUGGGAUGACGGAUCUAGGUUUGUAAACCACUUUCAGGAGGGAAGAAAAUGACGGUACC
rnacentral:rRNA from 1 species